rnacentral:rRNA from 1 species
UACGUAGGGGGCUAGCGUUGUCCGGAUUCAUUGGGCGUAAAGGGUGCGUAGGCGGCGCGGUAAGUCGGGUGUGAAAUCUCGGGGCUUAACUCCGAAACUGCAUUCGAUACUGCCGUGCUUGAGGACUGGAGAGGAGACUGGAAUUUACGGUGUAGCGGUGAAAUGCGUAGAUAUCGUAAGGAAGACCAGUGGCGAAGGCGGGUCUCUGGACAGUUCCUGACGCUGAGGCACGAAGGUCAGGGGAGCAAACGGG